rnacentral:ribozyme from 1 species
GUGGUACUGGAACGAUUGGAAUCUGCAUAGCUUCAGGUGCGAGAAAAGUGAUAGGCAUAGAAUUGUGUGCUCCAGCCAUUGAGGAUGCAAAGCUGAAUGCGGAGAGGAACA